rnacentral:siRNA from 1 species
AGAUGGGGUGAUAUCAUGGCAG